rnacentral:rRNA from 1 species
CUUUGGGAGCUUGCUCCUAAAGGUUAGCGGCGGACGGGUGAGUAACACGUGGGCAACCUGCCUAUAAGACUGGGAUAACUUCGGGAAACCGGAGCUAAUACCGGAUAAUUCUUUUCUAUACAUGUAGAAAAGCUAAAAGACGGUUUACGCUGUCACUUAUAGAUGGGCCCGCGGCGCAUUAGCUAGUUGGUGAGGUAACGGCUCACCAAGGCCACGAUGCGUAGCCGACCUGAGAGGGUGAUCGGCCACACUGGGACUGAGACACGGCCCAGACUCCUACGGGAGGCAGCAGUAGGGAAUCUUCCGCAAUGGACGAAAGUCUGACGGAGCAACGCCGCGUGAGUGAUGAAGGUUUCCGGA